rfam:Homo sapiens chromosome 4, GRCh38 reference primary assembly.
GCUGGGUGUGGUGGUGCACACCUGUAGUCCCAGCUACUCUGGAGGCUGAGGCAGGAGAAUCACUUGAACCUGGGAGGUGGAGGUUGCAGUGAGCCGAGAUCAUACCACUGCACUCCAGCCUAGGUGACAGAGUGAGACUCUGUCUCAA